UGUAGGUGUGUGUUCCAGGUAAAUCCGGUUCACUUUAACACUGAGGCGUGACGACGAGGCACUACGGUGCUGAAGCAACAAAUGCCCUGCUUCCAGGAAAAGCCUCUAAGCAUCAGGUAACACGAAAUCGUACCCCAAACCGACACAGGUGGUCAGGUAGAGAAUACCAAGGCGCUUGAGAGAACUCGGGUGAAGGAACUAGGCAAAAUGGUGCCGUAACUUCGGGAGAAGGCACGCUGACACGUAGGUGAAGUGAUUUACUCAUGGAGCUGAAGUCAGUCGAAGAUACCAGCUGGCUGCAACUGUUUAUUAAAAACACAGCACUGUGCAAACACGAAAGUGGACGUAUACGGUGUGACGCCUGCCCGGUGCCGGAAGGUUAAUUGAUGGGGUCAGCGCAAGCGAAGCUCCUGAUCGAAGCCCCGGUAAACGGCGGCCGUAACUAUAACGGUCCUAAGGUAGCGAAAUUCCUUGUCGGGUAAGUUCCGACCUGCACGAAUGGCGUAAUGAUGGCCAGGCUGUCUCCACCCGAGACUCAGUGAAAUUGAACUCGCUGUGAAGAUGCAGUGUACCCGCGGCAAGACGGAAAGACCCCGUGAACCUUUACUAUAGCUUGACACUGAACAUUGAGCCUUGAUGUGUAGGAUAGGUGGGAGGCUUUGAAGCGUGGACGCCAGUCUGCGUGGAGCCGACCUUGAAAUACCACCCUUUAAUGUUUGAUGUUCUAACGUGGACCCGUGAUCCGGGUUGCGGACAGUGUCUGGUGGGUAGUUUGACUGGGGCGGUCUCCUCCUAAAGAGUAACGGAGGAGCACGAAGGUUGGCUAAUCCUGGUCGGACAUCAGGAGGUUAGUGCAAUGGCAUAAGCCAGCUUGACUGCGAGCGUGACGGCGCGAGCAGGUGCGAAAGCAGGUCAUAGUGAUCCGGUGGUUCUGAAUGGAAGGGCCAUCGCUCAACGGAUAAAAGGUACUCCGGGGAUAACAGGCUGAUACCGCCCAAGAGUUCAUAUCGACGGCGGUGUUUGGCACCUCGAUGUCGGCUCAUCACAUCCUGGGGCUGAAGUAGGUCCCAAGGGUAUGGCUGUUCGCCAUUUAAAGUGGUACGCGAGCUGGGUUUAGAACGUCGUGAGACAGUUCGGUCCCUAUCUGCCGUGGGCGCUGGAGAACUGAGGGGGGCUGCUCCUAGUACGAGAGGACCGGAGUGGACGCAUCACUGGUGUUCGGGUUGUCAUGCCAAUGGCACUGCCCGGUAGCUAAAUGCGGAAGAGAUAAGUGCUGAAAGCAUCUAAGCACGAAACUUGCCCCGAG
rnacentral:rRNA from 1 species